rnacentral:rRNA from 1 species
UAGUUGGGCACUCUAAUGAGACUGCCGGUGACAAACCGGAGGAAGGUGGGGAUGACGUCAAGUCCUCAUGGCCCUAUAGGUGGGGCUACACACGUCAUACAAUGGCUGGUACAGAGGGUUGCCAACCCGCGAGGGGGAGCUAAUCCCAUAAAACCAGUCGUAGUCCGGAUCGCAGUCUGCAACUCGACUGCGUGAAGUCGGAAUCGCUAGUAAUCGCGGAUCAGCAUGCCGCGGUGAAUACGUUCCCGGGUCUUGUACACACCGCCCGUCACACCAUGGGAGCGGGUCUCGCCAGAAGUAGGUAGCCUAACCGCAAGGAGGGCGCUUACCACGGCGGGGUUCGUGACUGGGGUGAAGUCGUAACAAGGUAACCAAGGGCGAAUUCCAG